CCUUUCAAGUGAGUGGCGAACGGGUGAGUAACACGUGGACAACCUGCCUCAAGGCUGGGGAUAACAUUUGGAAACAGAUGCUAAUACCGAAUAAAACUUAAUGUCGCAUGACAAAAAGUUAAAAGGCGCUUCGGCGUCACCUAGAGAUGGAUCCGCGGUGCAUUAGUUAGUUGGUGGGGUAAAGGCCUACCAAGACAAUGAUGCCUAGCCGAGUUGAGAGACUGAUCGGCCACAUUGGGACUGAAACACGGCCCAAACUCAUACGGGAGGCUGCAGUAAAAAAUCUUCCACAAUGGGCGAAAGCCUGAUGGAGCAACGCCGCGUGUGUGAUGAAGGCUUUCGGGUCGUAAAGCACUGUUGUAUGGGAAGAACAGCUUUAAUAGGAAAUGAUUUUUUUUUGACGGUACCAUACCACAAAGGGACGGCUAAAUACGUGCCAGCAGC
rnacentral:rRNA from 1 species